GCAGGAAGAUACAGCUUGAGGAGCCAGAUGCAGCGGCUCACUCCUGUAAUCCCAGCGUUUUGGGAGGCCGAGUUCAAGUGAAGAUACAGGCAUGCCUCUUGGU
rnacentral:lncRNA from 1 species